AGAGCAUUCCCAGAAGCGGGGCCAGGGCAGUGCGCACAGUGAGGAGAGCAGGUGUGUGUGAGCAAUGUCAGUGAAGAUGGAAAACAGAACGUGGAGAGAGAUGUAGCUUACUAGAGCCCUGUGGCUUCAAUCCCCACCAGGAAUGUCGUUUAAGAGGAAGGACAUAUCACACACCAACCGUGUGCAAAGCACUCUACCUAAAGAUCAGCGCUAACAGAGGAAUAAGCAGAGGCCUCCAGGAGCAAAGAGUGAAAAGUCUCCCAAGGAUUCAAGUACGGGGGAAGUGGGUGGAGCUUUCACCGUAGAAUCUUUCCUGGAGAAAAAGCAAAGAGUGGGACAACAAUGAAGGCAUUAAAAAUAACUGUCAAGUUGAAGAAAAAGUAUUUUGCCAAAGACUAAGGAUUCGGAGAUGACUACGGAAAGGAAAACUAAGCUCCAUGAGAAGAGGGGACUUGCCCAUGUGGCUCAGGGCUCUAUGCCCAGUGCCCUAGACAGUGCCUGACUGUGUGUGCGGAAUGAAUGAAUAACCUUGGUGAUCCACCCAAUGGCACUGGCGCUCAGUGACCUCAUCUGAAAUGGAAUAAGGAUUUUAUGAAAAUGCAUGUUUGUUGAAUAACACAAAGGAGAAUAUUAUCUAAUGUGGCUUGGGGUCAAUAUCAAGCAGUAAUAUUGUUUUAGUAUUAAUUAGAGCCGUGUCAUUGCAAGAGCUGGUAAGAAUACUGGUCUUGUUUCCAACUGAUGAAAACACUCAUACAGAUUAGGGUUUUUAUGAGUAAAUUUCAGAUCUUGAAAUCAGUGCUGUGAUCCACUCUCAUAGGGUGAAUAUCUGUCCAAAUGGUAUAUCAGAAAGGAAAAAAGCCAAUGUCAUUACAUAGAAGUGUUAAACAAUGAUCUCUAAAGAAAAGUUUCAUUCUUAAAAAGCAUUUGAACUUCAAAGCCCAACAAUGACAUAGAUUCACAUAUCCCAAAGGUUAAGAAAAUUCCUCUCAUCUAAAAACAAUGCAAAACCUACAAAAUCACUUCAAAUUCUGCUACCAUCAAGAUUUGCAUAGUUUUUUGAAAACUAAAAUAACAUAUUCAGAAAAAUGAACAAGUCCUAAGUGAAAUACUUAGUGAAUUAUCAUAAAGUGAGCCCAGCUAUAUAGUCAUCACACAGGUUAAAAUUAAAAUUAAGGCUGGGCGUGGUGGCUCACACCUGUAAUCCUGGCACUUUGGGAGGCCGAGGAGGGCAGAUCACCUGAGGUCAGGAGUUCGAGACCAGCCUGGCCAACAUGGCGAAACCCCAUCUCUACUAAAAAUACAAAAAUUAGCUGGGUGUGGUGGCACACGCCUGUAAUCCCAGCUACUUGGGAGGCUGAGGCAGGAGAAUCGCUUGAACCUGGGGAUGGAGCAGAGGUUUCAGUGAGCAAAGAUUGUGCCACUGCGCUCCAGCCUGGGAGACAGAUUGAGACUCCAUCUCAAAAAAAAAAAAACAAAAACAAACAAACAAAAAUUAAAAUUAAAUUAUUAGCAGCAUCCCAAAGUCUUCCUUGGGGCCUGCCCCAGUCUCUGUUCUACCCUCCCUACCAGAGUUAACCACCAUCUGAAUUGGUAAGAGCCUACAUUAAUUUUUGCCUGUUUUUGAACUUGGUAUAAUUGGAAUCCUAUAGUAUGUAUUAUUUUGUGUAUGUCUUCUUUUGCUCAAUACUGAGAGUAAUUUCAUUUUCAUCACUCUAUAGUACUUCACUAUAUAAACGUGCCACUAUUCUUUUUUUUUUUUUAAGACAGAGUCUUGCUCUGUUGCCCAGUCUGGAGUGCAGUGGCAUGAUCUUGGCUCACUGGAACAUUCGCCUCCAGGGUUCAAGCGAUCCUCCUACCUCAGCCUCCCUAGUAGGUGGGGCUACAAGCAUGCUAAUUACUACCUAAUUACUACCAAGCCCAGCUAUUUUGUAUUUUUAGUAGAGAUGGGGGUUCGCCACAUUGGCCAGGCUGGUCUUGAGCUCCUGGCCUCAAGUAAUCUGCCUGCCUUGGCCUCCCAAAGUGCUGGGAUUACAGGCGUGAGCCACCACACCCAGCCCCACUAUUCUCAUUUUAGUGUUCAUGAACAUUUCAUAGUUUCCUGUCUGGUGCUAUUAUAAAUAACGCUGAUGUGAGCACUCUAGUACUAGUCUUUUGUUUCCACCUACAUGCAUUUCUCUUGGGUGUAUUGCUAGGGGUA
rnacentral:lncRNA from 1 species